rnacentral:rRNA from 1 species
GAUGAACGCUGGCGGCGUGCCUAAUACAUGCAAGUCGAGCGAACGGACGAGAAGCUUGCUUCUCUGAUGUUAGCGGCGGACGGGUGAGUAACACGUGGAUAACCUACCUAUAAGACUGGGAUAACUUCGGGAAACCGGAGCUAAUACCGGAUGAUAUUUUGAACCGCAUGGUUCAAAAGUGAAAGACGGUCUUGCUGUCACUUAUAGAUGGAUCCGCGCUGCAUUAGCUAGUUGGUAAGGUAACGGCUUACCAAGGCAACGAUGCAUAGCCGACCUGAGAGGGUGAUCGGCCACACGGGAGCUGAGACACGGUCCAGACUCCUACGGGAGGCAGCAGUAGGGAAUCUUCCGCAAUGGGCGAAAGCCUGACGGAGCAACGCCGCGUGAGUGAUGAAGGUCUUCGGAUCGUAAAACUCUGUUAUUAGGGAAGAACAUAUGUGUAAGGAACUGUGCACAUCUUGACGGUACCGAAUCAGAAAGCCACGGCUAACUACGUG